rnacentral:rRNA from 1 species
AGAACGAACGCUGGCGGCAUGCCUAACACAUGCAAGUCGAACGAGACCUUCGGGUCUAGUGGCGCACGGGUGCGUAACGCGUGGGAAUCUGCCCUUGGGUUCGGAAUAACAGCGAGAAAUUGCUGCUAAUACCGGAUGAUGACGUAAGUCCAAAGAUUUAUCGCCCAAGGAUGAGCCCGCGUAGGAUUAGCUUGUUGGUGAGGUAAGAGCUCACCAAGGCGACGAUCCUUAGCUGGUCUGAGAGGAUGAUCAGCCACACUGGGACUGAGACACGGCCCAGACU